GAACUCUGGUUUCACUUCAGAUCAAAUAAAUCUUUUUCUUUAUAUUAAAGAGUUCCAAGGAGCGAAUCAACGAUGAGUUGUUAAUAAUUGUUAGAUACGUGCAGAGCUACGUU